rnacentral:SRP_RNA from 16 species
GGCAAGCAGCCCACCCGAGCUGUCCGCGGGGAGCGCCGUGUCCGGGUACGUGAUGAGCAAUGGCUGGCAGGCAACUGGUGCGCGGAAGGCCCCAGUCCGGAAGGGGAGCAGUGUUGUGCUGCCGCCAUUUGUCGUACCCUCUGGGAACACGACG